rnacentral:rRNA from 1 species
UACGGCGCGCAGCAGGCGCGAAACCUCCGCAAUACACGCAAGUGUGACGGGGCCAUCCCAAGUGCCAUCCGAUAAGGGUGGCUUUUGCCCAGUGUAAGUAGCUGGGAGAAUAAGGGGAGGGCAAGGCUGGUGCCAGCCGCCGCGGUAAAACCAGCUCCUCGAGUAGUCGGGAGUAUUAUUGGGUCUAAAGCGUCCGUAGCCGGCCCUGUAAGUUCCUGGUCAAAUCCAGCGGCCUAACCGUUGGUUCGCUGGGGAUACUGCAGGGCUUGGGAACGAGAGAGGCCAAGGGUACUUAUGGGGUAGGGGUGAAAUCCUGUAAUCCCAUAGGGACCACCGGUGGCGAAGGCGCUUGGCUGGAACGUGUCCGACGGUGAGGGACGAAAGCCAGGGGAGCGAACCGGAUUAGAUACCCGGGUAGUCCUGGCUGUAAACGAUGCGGGCUAGGUGUUUGCGUGGCUACGGGCUGCGCAAGUGCCGUAGAGAAGUCGUUAAGCCCGCCACCUGGGGAGUACGGCCGCAAGGCUGAAA